rnacentral:tRNA from 1 species
GGGCUCGUGGCGCAAUGGAUAACGCGUCUGACUACGGAUCAGAAGAUUCUAGGUUCGAAUCCUGGUGAGCUCG